CUUUGCUCAUUUUAUAUGCAUGUUUUGUGAUGUUUUAGGGAGUUUUUGGGGAGAUGUUUAGAGUCUUGUUAGAGUAUGUUUGGUCCCUCAUUUGAGUUCACCUGUGUAGGAUCGGACCUGGGAGACCGUAGAGGCCAGCAGUGAGGAAACUGCUCCAGUGUUAGUAAAACGUCAGCUAGAGGUGAGUAGAACUAAACUAAUCCAUUGUUUUAAAGAUUAUCAAACUUUUAAGCAUGUUCGUGCAUCAUGAAUGCCAU
rnacentral:lncRNA from 1 species